rnacentral:rRNA from 1 species
AACGAACGCUGGCGGCAGGCUUAACACAUGCAAGUCGAACGCCCCGCAAGGGGAGUGGCAGACGGGUGAGUAACACGUGGGAACGUGCCCUAAGGUUCGGAAUAUUCCCGGGAAACUGGGAGCAAUACCGAAUGUGUCCGAGAGGAGAAAGAUUUAUCGCCUUAGGAUCGGCCCGCGUCGGAUUAGCUAGUUGGUGGGGUAAUGGCCUACCAAGGCGACGAUCCGUAGCUGGUCUGAGAGGACGACCAGCCACACUGGGACUGAGACACGGCCCAGACUCCUACGGGAGGCAGCAGUGGGGAAUCUUGGACAAUGGGCGCAAGCCUGAUCCAGCCAUGCCGCGUGGAUGAUGAAGGCCUUAGGGUUGUAAAAUCCUUUCGCCGAGGACGAUAAUGACGGUACUCGGAGAAGAAGCUCCGGCUAACUUCGUGCCAGCCGCCGCCGUAAAAC